CAUUGCUAAUAUGGUAUUCCUGGUUCUUUAGCAUGAUGUGGAACAAAAGACAAAUGAGCUCUGAGUCCUAGGGUGUUUCUCAAGGUUCAGUCCAUAGUCGUCACCUAUGUGGCAAGGAAGAUUUUAAGAUUUUAAGAAAACGGAGCUUAGCUUUCUUGUUCUGUUUUGUUCUUUUCCUUCUUGUCCUUUCACUGCACUGUUACUUGCUAUAUAAUUCUCUCAGCUGGUUUCAAGGUGAUCAUUUUGAGCGCGUGAAUCUUUCUUUCAACAUCAAUCACACUGCCAAAACCUGGCAGUGACCACUAAGUGUACUAAACAUUUGGUAACCCUUCUUGGCUUUCUUGACAUUUGGAUGUCUGCAGAUUCAGCCUUCUCCUGAGGAGGCACGGGAACACGGAGGAGGAUCUGAAUUUGUUUAAGGUGCCAGCUGUUAUCCAAGACCAGUAAGGACCUGAUGGCAGCAAGAAUGUCAAGAUACAUAUAGCCAUGCAGAGUGUUCCACAUCAUGACAUCAUGUGGGGCACUGGGAGUUUAACUGUUAAUGCUCAAGAUCUGGUGACCUGCCUGGAAGAGAAGAGCAACUACAUUCCCCAGGGGACUCUGCAGUCACAGAGAGGAGACAGAACUCCUGGCAAGGUCACUAGAUGGACUCUACUUCUUCCGCUCUUCUUCAUCGUCUCUCCUCCCGUCUCCCUGCUGCUCAACUGAACUGCGCAUCUCACAUCAGUGCUAUGGCAAAAUAUGACUUCCGAGGAGCACUUUUCCAUUCAUUUUCCAUGAAGUGUUUCCCCAGUCCCAAUGCUAACCUCCAAGAAAGACCAGAUCAUAGGGUGAAAUCCAUUAAAACUGGCAGAAGAGCUAGCUCCAUAUCUACAGUCAACAAAGCCAAACAGAAAUAUGAAGCAGAGGAAAAAGGAGAGAAUGUAUGCAGCUGCGUGGCAUCGAGUCCAGCUCAGAACUUGCCUGCCCAUCAGGUGGUGUAGACACAGUGUGGCACUGCUGCUCCUCUUGCCAUUGCUCAACACAGAAGUGAUAUUUAACAUGAAAGCAAACUAGCCAGGCUACUUAUCUUUCCAUUAGAACACCUGAGCAUGGAUCCAGUUGGACUCUGGAAAUGAAUUAGGUGCACCUUAGGCAUCAUACUGCCAGGCACUGCCUGUCUGUCCUGCUCUUAUAACCUGAUAAAAUUGGCAUUACAGUGGCUGGUGACUUGGCCACAGAAUCACAGAAAGCCAAGGAUUGGAAGGGACCUCGAAAGACAAUCUAAUCCAAUUCUCCUGCUGGAGCAGAUCACAUAUUUUGUGUCUGAAAACAUGUAGAGCUUAGUCUUCUCCCAGGAGUAAGCAUUGUUGACAUCAGUCCCCUCACUUAUCUUCGUUCAUUAAAAUGUUGCAAUACAAUUAUUUGUUCUUCAGGCAACAAAACACCCCUGGCAGCAUAUUUUGCUAAUUAGUUGACCUAUCAAUUAAAGUCCACAGCCUUAAAUAAUCUUGCUUUUUUCAUGUAAAAUGAUCAGUGAAUUCAGAAUUCUGCUGCAUAAUCCAUCAAGGCAUUACAGGUUGUGUCCUAGAGUAUAGCUCUGGAUCUGUCCUUCAUCCAAGUUCCUCAAAUAAAUGAGUUCAUAAAAUGGCUUGGAUUGAGAGGGAUCCCAAGGAUCAUCGGGUUCCAACUCCUUACUUUAGACUGGUAGAAUUACAUUAAACAUACACAGCUUCUUGAUUAGGACUGUGAUCUUGUGUUAAAAGUUCUUGAUACUUAAUACUGGAGUCAGCAUAGCCCACAGCUUUGCGGUUAUUUGCAGUGCAGGUUUUUGGAGAAGCAAUUGAAUGUCUUGAGUCAUCAGCAUGGGUUAGACCCCAGACAUAUUAUUUAGCAUAAUGGGUUAUCAAACUUUAUGGUUACUUUGGAACGUGUGUUUUUAAUGCUUCCUGGUAAAAAGUAUAAUUUGAAACUUUAUUUUUGAACUACUAAAACACAGCGACCAUCGAAUUGCCUGGACACGUAUGUUGUUAAUGAGAACUCUAUAAGUCUUAACCAAAAACUAUUGCAACUGGUUUUUAGUACUCAGGAGUUAGUCUGACCAGUUCAUUCCAGUUAGGAGAAUUCAGUGUUGGAGAGAAAUAUCUUUCAUGUAAUCCUGUUCAAUUGUAGAGAUGUUCCAAGCACCUUUGAGCAUAGGAGGAUCAAAUGACAGGAGAUUGUUUUCAGCUGGUACUCAAACCCAAUAGCACUGUCUGGGCUUCUCUCAGUGCUGCAUCCCACACUUGCCCAGUGUGCAUCUGGAUUUUCUUUCUAAAAAUCUGCUCAUUUGUGGUGUUUCUGCUGUCCUCUUUGUCACACCCACACACCAGUCAAACAAGUCUUUUGUAUAAUUCAAAUUCCUCACUGGUCUUUCAUAUUUCUGCUUCAGCCUGUGACUUGAUGCGUGUUAGAAUCAAGGGUUGUUGGUUUUUUUGUUUGUUUUUUGGUUGGUUGUUUGGUUUUGCUUUAAAUAAAGAGUGUAACUAUUGUGUUUUAAAGGAAAUGUGUUACUUAAAGUAGUCUGUUCUGCAUUGGCAUUCCUUUUCUCAACCAGUGAUAAUUGUUUGCUAGUAUGUGGACAAAUACUAAGAAAACAUCUCCUGCACAGGAAGUGUUCUAGAAGUGAGACAAAAAAGCCCAUGGCUGAGUUCUUUGAGAGUACAGGGAGGACUGCUUGUUUGGCAGUUGCUGAGUCCAUCUGUAUUUGUCAAUCUCAAACCAUUGUUUGAGAUUGCGUGGGUGAUUUUUAACUUAGAGUAAACACUGCUGUUCAUCCCAAUGACUGUCAAAAGGAAAAGAGGAGGCUAUGACUCUAGGUUGAAUCUUCUUUAGGUUCAGGCUACUUGUGAAGAAUUUGUCAGUCUGCUCCAUGGAGAGCAGAGCAGCUCUGAUUUUAUCCAUGGCCAAGCUGUGAGAAAGGUGCAUGCAGCACAGAGUGAAAGCAUAAAGCUUGCAGCUCCCUGACAAUGCAGCUAUCUGGAGAGCACCAGGAAUAUGUAUAUUUUUUUCUUGAGUGUUUACUGCAGAGGUGAAUUUUUAAACAAUCUUUUCAGCACUCAGGCUACCAAAUAAAGACCCAAAAUUUUUAAAGGGGAGCUGAUAAUACUAUUAUAUUAUGGCUAGAAAUCAAAUAGUUCAGGUUGUGCUUUCAUUAUUUGCAACUCUCAAGUGUAUUUUAAUAUAAUUUGUCCAAGCAGUGCUCUUUUAUCAUGUUCCUUCCCCAGACCAUCUUUCCUCCUUAUCUAAAUGUCCUCAAAGCCUUUCAUCUCCCUGGGAAGCUGUCAGAUGGUUAUGGAAAUCCAGCCGGCAGGACGAGUCUCAGUGGUGCUCAUGGCUCUGAAGGAGGAUCCUAUCUUGCUCAAAGCAGCCCUUGGGCAAACUAAAAGACCACCCAUUUGCAGAGCCAGAACUGAAGUUUUAAAUUGGUUUUGUUUUUUUUUUCUAGACACUCUUAAGCAGAAACAGACAAGGCACAGGGCUGAAUGUUCUGCUUCCAUACAUAUAUACUUAUGGAUAACUUUUGGAGUAUCAGAUUUUCAAUAACCUAAAGCCAUUAGAAAUGGUUCAUGAACAUUCAGGCAUGCAUACAUAAUUUAUGCUAACUGAAUCCAUUUAUGUGCACUCUUGUAAAA